CGCCAGAUUGGCCGAGAGCGGAUGGUUCUGUCAGCUUUCAGGGCAAGUGGUGCAAGCGCCAGGCUGAUGCCUACCAGAAGCUGUAUCAGGCGGCGGAGAUCAGGUCCUGCAGCGCGGCCACGCGCUCGACGUGGAUGACCCGCCGACGGGCGAGAGAGACGGUCUGAUUGAUGUAGUAGGUUGCGCGCAGGAAGUUGCGGAUCUCAUCAAAGGCCCGGCAGAAGCGAUGAGCCGCAUCGAAGUUCUUGAAGCCACGCAUCGACCGGUAGCGCCCCUUUACCCCUCGAUGAUCUUGUUCGAUCACGUUGUUUUUAUACUGACUGGUGCGGUGAUCAACGUCCGUGCCGAGUUCGUCAGCGAUGGCCUUGGGAUAGCUGGUAUGGCCGUCGGUGGUGACCUGCUCGGGCUCGACCUGGGUGACCG
rnacentral:misc_RNA from 1 species